ensembl:lncRNA
UUUAGGUCGAUCCAGUCUGAGAGUCACAGUCCGGGCUCCUCCACAAAUCAUGGAGUCAACCAGGAUGAAACUCAUGUGUACGACUCUCUUCAACAUGGUACUGCUGACGUCUAUGAAUCAGUCACACAAGUGAAAAACAGAAAUGGUUCAGAUGAAUACGAUGACAUCACCUCCUCUCUUAUUGAGUUUAAAGAUCUUAGAACUAAGAAUACAGAGUCUGUCUGCACCUUCUAAACAAAUCCUAUAAGGUGGGACAGGCAUGAGGGGCAGCCAGUGACCCCUCACACACGUCCUUAUGCUGAUAUCCAGGCAGAUUCUCAGUGUUUGUAGCUGCUGAUUUAUGCAGCAAACAUUUCCACAGUCCUCUGCAGCAGAUUAUAGAAACACUUCUUUUCUCAGCUCACGACAGAAGAUCUACAGCUGGGACACUGUUAAGUGGUUCUAUGUGAAAAAUAGUUAAAUAUUAACUCAAACAUGUUCUUGUAUGUAAAACAGGUUCAAAUGCAUGAAAUUAUAUUUGUCCUUUAUAGUGGACAUUAAAAAACACCACAUGUAUGAACGAUAGUUUACAUCUUAGAGCCCUGCUCUCAAACACUGACUCAGAUGUAACUGUCUGUGAAACCAGAUUUAAGAAAUAAGAACUUAAAGUUCA